rnacentral:lncRNA from 1 species
UUUUACUUAUAUUAAAGAAAUAACAAAGCAGCAAGAAAAAUACGAGAUGCUUUUGGUUAAUGAUGUCGCAGCAGCUGGGCUGAAAUGUCUUUUCCAGUUUUCCUGAACACUUAUGAUUGAACCAAGUACAGUUAUUUUCAGUAAGCAUGAUCCACUAAUCACAUGUACUUUUAAGUAUAUUUUCUGUUGCAUUUAUUUCUAUUUCACUUUGGUUCAAAAAAGAUUUAAAGGAUGCAUAAAAGAAAUAAUUACAUAAAGUUAAGACUAAUGAGAAAAAGACACUAAAUGAUUUAAGGAGUAUAAAUUGCAGAGAGGACUUCAAGGGUUCCAGGACUGCAGUUUUCUGCAGUAUCAUCAGGGGAUUGGUUCCACAAUGCCCACGCAUCUAAAAAUCCACAGAUGUCCAAGUCCUUCAUAUAAAAUGACGCAGUACGUCCUCCUGUGGAAAGGAAAUCAUCUCCGUAAUUGUAAUACCUAAUCCGUACAAUGUGGAUGCCACGUGAGUAGUUGUCCUGCUGUCCCGUUUAUAGAGUAAUGAUGAGGGAAAGGUAUAUGUUCACCACAGAUGUCUUUCAAUCCGCAGUUGGUGGGUGGUGACCACGAUUUCAGAAGGCUGAUGGUGCAGACUGGCUUGUGUUCUUGCAGCUCCUGGCCCACUGAGGAUGUCCCUCAUGUGGAAGCCACAGCUGUUCCUCCACAGCCCAGGCGGGACAGAGUGGGCAGCUCAUCUCUCCUCACACCCCUGUGA